GACGAACGCUGGCGGCGUGCUUAACACAUGCAAGUCGAACGGAAAGACCCUGCUUUUGUGGGGUUCUCGAUUGCCGAACGCGUGAGUAACACGUGAGUAACCUGCCCUUGACUUUGGGGUAACUUCAGGAAACUGGGGCUAAUACCGGAUAGGAUCUCCUGCUGCAUGGUGUGCGUUGGAAAGUUUCGGCUGUUGGGGAUGGACUCGCUGCUUAUGAGCUUGUUUGUGGGGUAGGUGCUUACCAAGGCUUUGACGGGUAGCCGGCCUGAGAGGGUGACCGGCGACAUUGGGACUGAGAGAGGGCCCAGACUGGUACGGGCGGCAGCAGUGGGGAAUAUUGCACAAUGGGCGGAAGCCUGAUGCAGAAACGCCGCGUGCGGGAUGACGGCUUUCGGGUGGAAAACCGCUUUCGCCUGUGACGAAGCGUGAGUGACGGUAACGGGUAAAGAAGCAACGGCUAACUACGUG
rnacentral:rRNA from 1 species